rnacentral:misc_RNA from 1 species
UCCGGUUUAACACCGGCAGUCUCUCUAGAGUGCUCAACUUAAUGGUCGCAACUAAAGAUAGGGGUUGCGCUCGUUGACGGACUUAACCGAACAUCUUACGACACGAGCUGACGACAGCCAUGCAGCACCUGUGUCCACGUCUCCGAAGAGCCUAUUACAUCUCUGCAAUAUUCGUGGCAUGUCAAACCCAGGUAAGGUUCUGCGCGUUGCGUCGAAUUGAACCACAUACUCCACCGCUUGUGCGGGCCCCCGUCAAUUCCUUUGAGUUUUAGCCUUGCGACCGUACUUCCCAGGCGGGAUACUUAAUGCGUUUGCUUUGAUACUCGGGGGGUUAACUCCCUGAACAUCUAGUAUCCAUCGUUUAAGGUGCGGACUAC